GACGAACGCUGGCGGCGUGCUUAACACAUGCAAGUCGAACGGAAAGGCCCUGCUUUUGUGGGGUGCUCGAGUGGCGAACGGGUGAGUAGCACGUGAGUAACCUGCCCUUGACUUUGGGAUAACUUCAGGAAACUGGGGCUAAUACCGGAUAGGAGCUCCUGCUGCAUGGUGGGGGUUGGAAAGUUUCGGCGGUUGGGGAUGGACUCGCGGCUUAUCAGCUUGUUGGUGGGGUAGUGGCUUACCAAGGCUUUGACGGGUAGCCGGCCGGAGAGGGUGACCGGCCACAUUGGGACUGGGAUACGGCCCAGACUCCUACGGGAGUCAGCAGUGGGGAAUAUUGCACAAUGGGCGGAAGCCUGAUGCAGCAACGCCGCGUGCGUGAUGACGGCCUUCGGGUUGUAAACCGCUUUCGCCUGUGACGAAGCGUGAGUGACGGUAAUGGGUAAAGAAGCACCGGCUAACUACGUG
rnacentral:rRNA from 1 species